GAUGAAGAACGUAGCGAAAUGUGAUAAGUAAUGUGAAUUGCAGAAUUCAGUGAAUCAUCGAAUCUUUGAACGCACAUUGCGCCCGCCAGUAUUCUGGCGGGCAUGCCUGUUCGAGCGUCAUUACAACCCUCAGGCCCCCGGGCCUGGCGUUGGGGAUCGGCAGAAGCCCCCUGUGGGCACACGCCGUCCCUCAAAUACAGUGGCGGUCCCGCCGCAGCUUCCAUUGCGUAGUAGCUAACACCUCGCAACUGGAGAGCGGCGCGGCCAUGCCGUAAAACACCCAACUUCUGAAUGUUGACCUCGAAUCAGGUAGGAAUACCCGCUGAACUUAAGCAUAUCAAUAAGCGGAGGA
rnacentral:misc_RNA from 1 species